rnacentral:rRNA from 1 species
AGUGAACGUUGGCGGUAGGCCUAACACAUGCAAGUCGAACGGCAGCACAGUAAGAGCUUGCUCUUACGGGUGGCGAGUGGCGGACGGGUGAGGAAUACAUCGGAAUCUACUUGUUCGUGGGGGAUAACGUAGGGAAACUUACGCUAAUACCGCAUACGACCUACGGGUGAAAGCAGGGGAUCUUCGGACCUUGCGCGAUUGAAUGAGCCGAUGUCGGAUUAGCUAGUUGGCGGGGUAAAGGCCCACCAAGGCGACGAUCCGUAGCUGGUCUGAGAGGAUGAUCAGCCACACUGGAACUGAGACACGGUCCAGACUCCUACGGGAGGCAGCAGUGGGGAAUAUUGGACAAUGGGCGCAAGCCUGAUCCAGCCAUACCGCGUGGGUGAAGAAGGCCUUCGGGUUGUAAAGCCCUUUUGUUGGGAAAGAAAAGCAGCAGGUUAAUACCCCGCUGUUCUGACGGUACCCAAAGAAUAAGCACCGGCUAACUUCGUG